CUUCGAAGAAGAGGGGGUAUAUUGCUUUGCUCAUGUCGGUCGGUCGGUCGGUCGGUCGGUCGGUCGGUCGGUCCGUCCACCAGGUGGUUGUCGUAUGAUAACUCAAGAACGCUUGGGGCUAGGAUCAUGAAACUUCAUAGGUACAUUGAUCAUGACUCGCAGAUGACCCCUAUUGAUUUUGAGGUCACUAGGUCAAAGGUCAAGGUCACGGUGACCCAAAAUAGUAAAAUGGUUUCCGGAUGAUAACUCAAGAACGCAUACGCUUAGGAUCAUGAAACUUCAUGGGUAGAUUGAUCAUGACUUGCAAAUGACCCCUAUUGAUUUUGAGGUCACUAGGUCAAAGGUCAAGGUCACGGUGACCCGAAAUAGUAAAAUGGUUUCCGGAUGAUAACUCAAGAACGCAUACGCCUAGGAUCAUGAAACUUCAUGGGUAGAUUGAUCAUGACUCGCAGAUGACCCCUAUCAAUUUUGAGGUCACUAGGUCAAAUGUCAAGGUCACGGUGACCCGAAAUAGUAAAAUGGUUUCCGGAUGAUAACUCAAGAACGCAUACGCCUAGGAUCAUGAAACUUCAUGGGUAGAUUGAUCAUGACUUGCAGAUGACCCCUAUUGUUUUUGAGGUCACUAGGUCAAAUGUCAAGGUCACGGUGACCUGAAAUAGUAAAAUGGUUUUCGGAUGAUAACUCAAGAACGCAUACGCCUAGGAUCAUGAAACUUCAUAGGUAGAUUGAUCAUGACUCGCAGAUGACCCCUAUUGAUUUUGAGGUCACAAGGUCAAAGGUCAAAGUCACGGUGACCCGAAAUAGUAAAAUGAUUUUCGGAUGAUAACUCAAGAACGCUUUGCCUAGGAUCAUGACACUUCAUAGGUACAUUGAUCGUGACUCGCAGAUGACCCCUAUUGAUUUUCAGGUCACUAGGACAAAGGUCAAGGUCACAGUGACAAAAAUCGUACUCACACAAUGGCUGCCACUACAAUGGACAGCCCAUAUGGGGGGCAUGCAUGUUUUACAAACAGCCCUUGUUAGUACUUACUUCCAUAUUCCUGUCAACAUGUUAACAUGUAAAAGUAUAAAGAGCAGUGGAAGCGAGGCCUCACUUUAAUGCAUUGCAUUUCAACCCGCGAGGUAUCGGGUCAAUUCGCGGUUAGUGUGUGAAUGUCAGAGUUUAUAUACAGGUCAUCACCGGAGUUCACGGCCAGUAAAAA